UACGUAGGCAGCGAGCGUUGUUCGGAGUUACUGGGCGUAAAGGGUGUGUAGGCGGUUCUUUAAGUUUGGUGUGAAAUCUCCCGGCUUAACCGGGAGGGUGCGCCGAAUACUGAGGGACUAGAGUACGGGAGAGGAAAGUGGAAUUCCUGGUGUAGCGGUGAAAUGCGUAGAUAUCAGGAGGAACACCGGUGGUGUAGACGGCUUUCUGGACCGUAACUGACGCUGAGACACGAAAGCGUGGGGAGCAAACAGG
rnacentral:rRNA from 1 species